GACGUAGGGGGCCAGCGUUGUUCGGAAUUACUGGGUGUAAAGGGUUCGUAGGCGGUGUGGCAAGUCGGGAGUGAAAUCUCUGGGCUCAACUCAGAGACUGCUUCCGAAACUGCUGUGCUGGAGUGUGGGAGAGGCGCGUGGAAUUGCAGGUGUAGCGGUGAAAUGCGUAGAUAUCUGGAGGAAUACCGGUGGCGAAGGCGGCAUCCUGGACCGGCAUUGACGCUGAUGAGCGAAAGCUAGGGGAGCAAACGGG
rnacentral:rRNA from 1 species